AUUGAACGCUGGCGGCAGGCCUAACACAUGCAAGUCGAACGAGUGGCGGACGGGUGAGUAAUGUCUGGGAAACUGCCUGAUGGAGGGGGAUAACUACUGGAAACGGUAGCUAAUACCGCAUACCAUCAGAUGUGCCCAGAUGGGAUUUGCUUGUUGGGGGGGUAACGGCUCACCAGGGCGACGAUCCCUAGCUGGUCUGAGGGGAUGACCAGCCACACUGGAACGGAGAAACGGUCCGGAGUCCAACGGGAGGCAGAAGGGGGGAAUAUUGGACAAGGGGCGCAAGCCUGCUGCAGCCAGGCCGGGUGUAUGAAGAGGGCCUUCGGGUUGUAAAGUACUUUCAGCGGGGAGGCGUUACCCGCAGAAGAAGCACCGGCUAACUCCGUGCCAGCAGCCGCGGUAAUAC
rnacentral:rRNA from 1 species